ACCCCCUCAAUUUAUCUACUCCUUCUCCAUGGCCCUUUCUUUCUCCUAUUUAUGCCACAGCAUCAUCUCUCACUACUAACGAGCCAAGUUCUCUAAAAAUAUAAACCCAUUGUUCACAUUAGCUGAAACAAAAUCCUUGCCUCUCUUGCUCCCUUCCUCAGAUCUGAAGAAUGUGGCUAUUAAAUGGUAUAAACCCCAAGCAAGGCUUCUUAGGUGCUGAUAUAGGCACAAACGAUCAUAUGCUGGAAUGGGUGGACUAGGAAAGAAGGAGUAUCUAAUUCCAAUGCUCUGCACGAUGAUCUCGUGCGACUUGGAGCGCCUCUUGUUGACCGUAUCUCGCUCACACUGCCACGGCGAAACAUGCGCUAACAUGAGCAUGCAAUGACUAAAAUAAAAAAAGAGUACAAUCUUAUGAUACUCAGUAGGUGCAGGUAUCACAUGCUACAACUGGCGAAAGAGCUGGCCGCUGCAACGAACAGGCAACGAACUCCGACGGAACGUAACAAUGUCCUCAACUACUCACUUGUCAGAAUGAAUGCCUAUGUGGUGUGUGUGUCUUAUGUCUACGAGUUAAGUUAAUAAUAUUAGUAGCGUUAGUGUUCGAUAUGCAAUGCAUGCAUAUUGGUAGCAUCGUAUAAGAAUAGUUAAGUUUUCUGUGUUAUGCUGUAGGUGCAACCGCCGUAGCCAACAAUCAACUCACUCCGGCGGAACGUAACAAUGUUCUCAACUACGAGGAUUACUUGUUUGAAUGAAUGCUUAUGUGGCAAAAGACAAUGGGGUAGCAGUGGAGCAUGCAGAUGUUCAUGUGAAAGUAUACAGUAUCAAAGAUGGGGCUCCUGUUAAUCCCAAAGUGGGGGAGAAGAUUAUGAAUCAAAUUUUAACUCAAGAGGGCAGAUCACUACGAGGAGAGCGUGGUGAAGGAAUCCUAUAGUCGAAAAAUGAUGCGUUUGCUUAAGUGAUGGGUGCAGAAUGUUAUGGACGUGUACGUGAGGUGGGUUUUGGACCAACCCCAUCAGGAAGAAGUAGGUCCAACCCUUCAUGCUAUACCUUAACUCUACUGUCGUCAAGCGAAACGACCCAUCGGAUUACUGAAUUGGAAACUUCGCUUGCAUCUAUGAUGGACCAACUUUCCCAUUCAGAGGAGAGGCAUUCAGAGGAGAGGCAUCAAGAGAAUCUUGCCCAAGCACUAGCCCAAUCAGAUGCACGGCAUGAGGAGUAACUUGCCGAAGCACUAGCCCAAUUAGAUGCAAAGCAUUAGGAGCAACUCACCGAAGCACUAGCCCAAUCAAAUGCAAAGCAUCAAGAGCAACUCACUGAAGCACUAACCCAAUCAAAUGCAAAACAUCAAGAGCAAAUGAUAGAAAUGAUGUUGCACAUAAAAGAAAUGUUCGCCCAAUUUAGCUCACUUAUGCAUUCUUCACUGCCUUCUCAGACAGGUACAUUGAUGCUUUAACAACAUAGAAGAGUUUAAGAGGAUUAAAUAGUGAAGCCAUGCAUUGUUCUCAAGGCUUUUGGAGCUCACUGGAACCAUUAAGAGAGGCCAUGGUCAGCCUCAGUACCUUGACAAGUUGCAGUGCCAUAAUGGACAUACAUUGGGCCCACUUGUAGACAAGAGCUUGGAGAUGGGAAGGCACCCCUAGAAGCAUUUGGGAUAGCCAUAGGAAGGAUUACAUUGGAGCUAUCGAUUUUGUCCAUGUUCCCGUAUUCCUAUAAGCAACAUACAUAUAGAGGAAGGAAAGGAGAGCCAACAAUUAAUUGCAUGCAUGUUUGUGAUUUUGACAUGAAAUUCACAUUUGCUUGUGUUGGAUGGGAAGAGUCAACACACGAAUAUUUUUACACGAAUAUUUUUAAGUUGCCUCAAUAAUGAGAGUGAUAACUUCCCUAAAUCGCCAACUGGUUUGUAUUGUUAAUUUUAUUAACUAUUAGAAUAUUGUUGUGGUGAAAUUGCUAAUAUAAAAAUAUUUUCAUUUGUAGGAAAAUACUAUCUUGUUGAUUCAGGAUACCUUAUAAAAAAAAGGGUUUCUUACAUCAUUUAAGGGGGGAGAUAUACUAUUUUCCUGAUUUUCAAGAAAGUUCAAGACCAAAAAAUUCAAAGGAAAGAGAUUUAGUUAUUUCCAUUCAUCACUUCGUUCU